rnacentral:rRNA from 1 species
AUGUUUCUGCUUCACGAAUAUCAUAUUUUUUGGACAUUUCUAAUAAUAGCAAGCUUUAUUCCUAUUUUGGCAUUUUCGAUUUCAAGACUUUUAGCCCCGGUUAGUGAAGGACCAAAGAAGCUUUCUAGUUAUGAAUCGGGUAUAGAACCCAUGAGAGGGGCUUGGGUACAAUUCCGAAUACGCUAUUAUAUGUUUGCGCUCGUUUUUUGUUGUUUUUGA